rnacentral:rRNA from 1 species
UACGGGGGGGGCAAGCGUUGUUCGGAAUUACUGGGCGUAAAGGGCUCGUAGGCGGCCAACUAAGUCAGACGUGAAAUCCCUCAGCUUAACUGGGGAACUGCGUCUGAUACUGGAUGGCUUGAGUUUGGGAGAGGGACGCGGAAUUCCAGGUGUAGCGGUGAAAUGCGUAGAUAUCUGGAGGAACGCCGGUGGCGAAGGCGGCGUCCUGGACCAACACUGACACUGAUGAGCGAAAGCCAGGGGAGCAAACGGG